rnacentral:rRNA from 1 species
GAAUUCAUCUCCGGGGGUAGAGCACUGUUUCGGCUAGGGGGCCAUCCCGGCUUACCAACCCGAUGCAAACUGCGAAUACCGGAGAAUGUUAUCACGGGAGACACACGGCGGGUGCUAACGUCCGUCGUGAAGAGGGAAACAACCCAGACCGCCAGCUAAGGUCCCAAAGUCAUGGUUAAGUGGGAAACGAUGUGGGAAGGCCCAGACAGCCAGGAUGUUGGCUUAGAAGCAGCCAUCAUUUAAAGAAAGCGUAAUAGCUCACUGGUCGAGUCGGCCUGCGCGGAAGAUGUAACGGGGCUAAACCAUG